AGUGAACGCUGGCGGCGUGCUUAACACAUGCAAGUCGAACGGUAACAGGAAAUAGCUUGCUAUUUUGCUGACGAGUGGCGCACGGGUGAGUAAACUAUAGUUAAUGUACCCCAAAGACUGGGAUAGCCACUGGAAACGGUGAUUAAUACUAGAUACACCUUCUUAUCAUAAGGUAUGAAGGGAAAUGUCUUUUCGCUUUGGGAUCAGACUAUAUCCUAUCAGCUAGUUGGUGAGGUAAUGGCUCACCAAGGCAAUGACGGGUAGCGGUUCUGAGAGGAUGAUCCGCCACACUGGUACUGAGACACGGACCAGACUCCUACGGGUGGCAG
rnacentral:rRNA from 1 species